GUCCACGCCGUAAACGUUGGGUGCUAGACGUCGGGGGUAUUGACCCCCUCGGUGUCGAAGCUAACGCAUUAAGCACCCCGCCUGGGGAGUACGGCCGCAAGGCUAAAACUCAAAGGAAUUGACGGGGGCCCGCACAAGCGGUGGAGCAUGUGGUUCAAUUCGAAGCAACGCGCAGAACCUUACCUGGACUUGACAUCUACGGAACCUCCUGGAAACAGGAGGGUGCCUUCGGGAGCCGUAAGACAGGUGCUGCAUGGCUGUCGU
rnacentral:rRNA from 1 species